GACGAACGCUGGCGGCGUGCCUAAUACAUGCAAGUUGAGCGCUGAAGGUUGGUACUUGUACCAACUGGAUGAGCAGCGAACGGGUGAGUAACGCGUGGGGAAUCUGCCUUUGAGCGGGGGACAACAUUUGGAAACGAAUGCUAAUACCGCAUAAAAACUUUAAACACAAGUUUUAAGUUUGAAAGAUGCAUUUGCAUCACUCAAAGAUGAUCCCGCGUUGUAUUAGGUAGUUGGUGAGGUAAAGGCUCACCAAGGCGAUGAUACAUAGCCGACCUGAGAGGGUGGACGGCCAAAAGGGGAAGGGGACAAGGCCCAAAAUCCUAAGGGAGGCAACAGUAGGGAAACUUCGGCAAAGGACGGAAGGCUGAACGAGCAAAGCCGGGGGAGUGAAGAAGGUUUUCGGAUCGGAAAACUCUGUUGGUAGAGAAGAACGAUGGGGAGAGUGGAAAGCUCAUCAAGUGACGGUAACUAACCAGAAAGGGACGGCUAACUACGUG
rnacentral:rRNA from 1 species